AGUUUGAUUCUGGCUCAGGAUGAACGACUAGCUACAGGCUUAACACAUGCAAGUCGAGGGGUAGCAGGGUAGCAAUACCGCUGACGACCGGCGCACGGGUGAGUAACACGUAUCCAACCUUCCCAUAACUCAGGGAUAGCCUUUCGAAAGAAAGAUUAAUACCUGAUAGUACUUUUUCAAGGCAUCUUAGAAAAAAGUUAAAGAUUUAUUGGCUAUGGAUGGGAUGCGUUCCAUUAGAUAGUUGGUGAGGUAACGGCUCACCAAGUCUUCGAUGGAUAGGGGUUCUGAGAGGAAGGUCCCCCACAUUGGUACUGAGACACGGACCAAACUCCUACGGGAGGCAGCAGUGAGGAAUAUUGGUCAAUGGGCGAGAGCCUGAACCAGCCAAGUAGCGUGAAAGGAUGAAGGUCCUAUGGAUUGUAAACUUCUUUUAUAGUAGAAUAAAGUGAGCCACGUGUGGUUUUUUGUAUGUAUACUAUGAAUAAGGAUCGGCUAACUCCGUGCCAGCCGCCGC
rnacentral:rRNA from 1 species